rnacentral:rRNA from 1 species
AUUGAACGCUGGCGGCAUGCUUUACACAUGCAAGUCGAACGGUAACGGCCGCAAGGUGCUGACGAGUGGCGAACGGGUGAGUAAUGCAUCGGAACGUGCCCAGUCGUGGGGGAUAACGCAGCGAAAGCUGCGCUAAUACCGCAUACGAUCUCUGGAUAAAAGCGGGGGACCGAAAGGCCUCGCGCGAUUGGAGCGGCCGAUGUCAGAUUAGGUAGUUGGUGGGGUAAAGGCCCACCAAGCCAACGAUCUGUAGCUGGUCUGAGAGGACGACCAGCCACACUGGGACUGAGACACGGCCCAGACUCCUACGGGAGGCAGCAGUGGGGAAUUUUGGACAAUGGGCGCAAGCCUGAUCCAGCAAUGCCGCGUGCAGGAAGAAGGCCUUCGGGUUGUAAACUGCUUUUGUACGGAACGAAACGGUCCGGGUUAAUACCCUGGGCUAAUGACGGUACCGUAAGAAUAAGCACCGGCUAACUACGUGCCAGCAGCCGCCGCCG